UAACAGAAAAACGAUUUACUCAUGCUUCAGUUACCAAGAUGCUUAUUUUGUAGUGAUAGUGGUUUGUAUUUUAUCUUAUAAUAGGCAGCAUAACAAAGAAAGAGUCAUCUCUUAUUAAUUCUUCUAGUUUUAGCUGAUGCAUAUAAGCUGUUCAAAAUAUGAUGCCACGUUACUUACUGCAAUUUAUUGCUAUUUACUGUCCAGAUAACUUGACAGUUAAUUUUAUGGAAUUCCCUUUGCUUGUCUAUUAGCUUGAUUUGGUCGUUGAUCGAUUGUUAUUGCAUGAGUUGUUUAAACUUCAGUCAAUUUAGGGAAUCGCAUUGGAAAAUCAUGAAUGGUCAUAAACAUGCAAUCAAUUUGCGCCACAGAUGAAUUUACGGCUAAUAAAAUGAACAGCCAUAUCAUGAUGUAUUAAGACUAUGCUAGUCGCUGGAGGUUGAACAAUGAAGGUCUUCAGUUCUUGAUUAAUCGAACAAAUGGAAGCUUGGCUCCAUUCACAUUGUUUUGUUCUUUUAUCGAAUGCAAAGGUCUAAUAGCAUGCAAAGGUGUACGAUAUACAAGGAUUUUGGUAUGCUGUUACAACUCUUAGCCCAGUUGGUAAAAGGAAAAUUCUGCUGCAAUUCUCCAUUGAAUAGAAAGUCACUCGAAUGUGGUCUGACAGUAAAGCAACGGGUUCAUUGGGUCAUAUAAUGGUGGUCAACAUUAGUUGUUAACAGUUCUCAUCCAUCCAGACCAAAAGUGUACCAAUUUUAGAAUAUUCAGCUGAUGGAGCAAGUCCUACAACUACUACCUCCGAUCAAUCUGGGGACCUGUCGUUAGAUGUCAAA